UGCCGUAAAUGAUUUAUUUAUUUAUUUAUACAUUGUUUAAGAUCAAUUAAUUAUACAUGAGAGACGUAAUUUCACGUCCAUUGUAUCAACAGUAUUAUGUAAAAUGAAGAAAAUCAAAAAUAUCGGCCAAUAAUUUUUUUUUUUCUCAUCAUAAUAUUUGACAGUGAGAUUAUAUUUAAUUUGAAGGAGUAAAAGUUUCAUAUAUAAUAUUAUAUCUUAAAUUGUAAAAGAAAUUAUAUUGGCUAAAGAAAAAUUAUAGCGAUAUUGAAUUUUUUUUUUUGAAAUAUGUAUAAAAAAAUUUAUUUUAUUUAAAUAAUUCAUUAUUUUAAAUAAAUAAAUUUUUUUCCCAAUAUAAUUAUUUCAUUACAUUUUAUAUUCUUCUUUGAAAUAACAAAUUUUUUUUUUUAUCAACAAAAACAUAAUUAUUUUCAAAAUGUCGAUACUUUUUUUUUUACAUAAACAUAUAUAAUAUUUAAUAAAUUUGAAACAGCUCAUCGAAAAAUUUAAGCCUAUAAAAACAUUAUUUUCAUACACCAAAUAAUUGUAAUUUUUUUUUUUUUUUUUUUUUUUUUGAACGUUUGAUACUUCUCUGCAGACAUACCAAAAUAGUAAAAACAAAAUGCAUUUAAAAAAAUCAUUUUUUGUCACUUUUUUUAUAAUAUAGAAUUUUAUUCCAUUUUUUUAUAAUUUAAAAUUUUUUUAUUUUUUUCUGUUAGCAAAUUUUUUUUUUCUUUAAACGUGACAAAUGAUGAUUAUUUCAAAAUACAAUGUGUUUAACUAUUUACAUAUAACAGUCUUAGAAAUUGUAUUCUUUUAUAAUAACACAUUCAUCAUUUUAAUUUUUUCUGCGUUUCAAGAAAAAAAAAUUUUUUAAUUUUAAAUAAUAUAUUACAUUGCAUUUUAUUAUUUAACAUUAGUCUUAAAAUACAGUCAAGCAAAAAAGAUGUAAUAUAUAUAUUUUUUUUAAAUUGAAUUUGAAAAAAAUUUUUUUGUAAAUUUAUUUUGAAGCUUAUAUUUUAUUUUCUAAAACAGAAAAAUAUCCAGUUGCAUGCUUAAUUAGACAUGAUAAGUUUAUCAAUAUAUAAGACAUUAUAUCUUUUUUUUUUUUUUAAUAUCAUUUUUCCAAGGAUAAUCUAAAAAUGGGACAUUGACAAAAAUUGUAUAUUUUCAUUUCUUGCCGAAACUACUUUUCAUUAUUUUUUUUUUUUUUAUGUAUAUAUAAUUUAUACGACAAAUGUCAAAAAAUUUAAGUCUCAAAUAUUUGUAUAAUAUAAUGAAUAUAUCUUGCACAUUUUAUUUAUUUAUUUUAUUUUUUUUUUUAAUAUAAGCGAAGUUUAUAACAAAUAUAGUUAGAGAAAAAAAUUGUAUUUUUUUUUUCUUUUAUUCUAUUGAUGAAUAAUCAAUGGACUUAGGCGAAGAAGAUAAAGAUAUAUUUAUUUAUUAUAUAGAUGUACCACAUUGUUAUUAAUAUUGUUGUGUAAUAAUAAUCUGUAAUAUAUCCUAGCAUCCAGGCAGAUAGUUUAUAACACUCGAUAUAAUAUUAUCGUCGAUAUAUUAUCAUUUUUCUAACGUCAGCAUGGACGAAUUUUUUUUUUUUUCAAUAAUCUGUAUUAAUAAUUAUAAUUUUAAUAAAGAAAAAAAACAUUGUCCAUUACACGACGCGAUGUUUUAAAAAGGGUAUUUUUCAAAAAAAAAAAAAUUACCAUUUUUCUCACGCAUUCUAUAAUUUUAAUUUUUUUGUCUUUAAUUAAUUCAAUUUAUUUUUAUAUUAAUUCAAAUUUAUUUUCAAUAAAUUUAAUUUAAUAUAAUAUAAAUAUCCAAAAAUUAAUUAAUUAAUAAAAAUAGACAAAAUUUUUGCAUUAAUAAUUAAUAUAUAAUUUUUCGAUAUUUCGAUUUAAACGUGAAAUGUGCGAAAAUUUGAACAAUGUUAAACAUAAUUUUUUUUUUAUACCCUAUAGAAUACAACAACUCCUGCUUAUAUCAGUCUAUAAACAAACUAAAAAUUAAAACAAAAAAUUCAAUUUGUGACUAUAAAAUUUAUACAAUGAAAAAUAAAAUUAGCGAUUAAAAGAAAAAUAUUCAGUAUAUAAAAUAAAUUCAAUUACAAAUGUUUUCAUAAACAAUUUUACUUAACAUAUUCAAAAAAACGUCGAAUAUUUAAUUUUAAAAUGAAAAUUAAUAUUUCUUUUUCCAAAAGUAAAAAAAAAAAAUUCUCUUCUUGUAUACAUUUGCCGAAGAUUUUUGCUUUUUUUUUUGAGUGGAAUGAGUAUACUACUUGGAAAUAUAUACGUAUGCGUAAAAGUCUCAUAAAAAUUAAGAAAAAAAAAAAAAAAAAAAAAAAUGCAUUUUGUGUAGAUGUGUUUUCGUCACUUGAAACCGCAUAGAGGCGCUUUAUGUAUAGAAACUUGUAAUACUGGUCGUUAAGUAUCUCGAUCUUUAAAAACUCUUUUUUAAUUUGAAAAUUUUCUCAAUUUAAAUAUAAAAACAAAUCCAAGUUCAAAAAAAAAUUCGAAUUUAAAUUAUAAAAAUAUAAAAGAAAUUUACAGAAAUAAAAAAAAAUUAAAUUAUAGAAACAGAAAUAAAAAAAAAACCUGAAUAAAAAUUUGUAAAUAAACAUAAAAAAUAAUUAACAUUUUUUCAAUAUUAUUUGCAUUCUUCUUUAACAUUUUUUAAAAUAUUUUCCUAAUUUUUUGUCGAUUAAAAAAAAAAAUUGCUUCACUCACAAACAUUUAAUUAUCAUAUCUGAUAUAAUUAUCCUAUUAAUUAAUAAAUUUUCAAAGGACAUCUAUUUUCGAGAUUAACUUGGAAAAGUGAAAUUUAACAUUUUAAAUAAGAUCGGAUCGAGAAUCUUGUUAAUAGUUUGAUUCGUCACAAAGAUUAAUUAUUAUUUGAGACAAAAUUGUCCAUUAUUCGGCGACUCAAGCAAAUUUCAUAGAUCACGAUUCGAUUUUUUUUUUUCUUUUUUUUUUUUAAUGCUCAGAGAAUACUUUUCUAUCUCACACAUUCUUUCUCGCACUAUUUUUUUUUAAUAUUCGUUCACUCGAUUUCUCUCUCUCUCGUUCGCUCUUUUUUUAUCAUCUCCAUUGAGAGUAUCUCCCUAUAAGAUUUUUUAUAUUUUGUUUUUAUUAUUUUUUAUUUAUUUUUUAUCACAGAUGUUUAACUUGCUCGCCCUUACAAAUUUGUGGCAGCCCACUCGGAUCUAUAUAUGUAUAUUCUAUUCUGUUAUUAUUUGUCACACCUCAAAACUCGGAUCACAGCUCUUAAUUCGCGAAUCUUCAAUCUUAUAUACGCACAUAAAGAGGACAUGUUUGUCUGACUAAGGCCUGCCUUAGUAGAAAAAUAUACAUUCGAUUCUUAAAAAAUAGAUCUUAUAUCACUUUUUUUUGCAGCUAACGUUCUCGUUUUUUAUUUUUUUUUUUUUGAUAUUAUACAAUGGAAUAUUCUUUUUUUUGAUUCAGCUGCGCUUUAAUAUGUUUAGGUUUUUUUUUUUUAAAGGGGUCUGCCUUCGAGUGUGCUCAGGGCAUAUAAUCAGAUCUAAGCUAGUUUUAUUUCGUACCACCUCUCCCAUAUCACUCAUAAUAAUAUGCAUAAGUGAUUUUCAUUUAAUUAUUAUUUUUUUUUUUAAUCCUUUAUGACUAGCGUUUAUAAUAAUUCCAUUAAAAAGAUAAUAUACAUAUUGAAAACUCAAACCAUAAUAAUUGGGAGAUAAAGCUGCUGUUACGUUUCCAAUAUUCAUUUAAAAAGCAUCCAUCAGAGAAAUGGAGUUUUGAUCUUGAGAAUACGAUGCCAACAAUCCAGUUCUAAAAUACAAUACGGCUCAGUCUUAUAGUUUGGUUAUUUUUUUUGUCAUCGCGCUAAUUAUACUUUUUUGCGCUGUGCCCACUUUUUUUUUUUUUUGGAUUGUUGCUCGAUUCUUUUUCUCCUUUUUUCCACCUAGAAUUCUCAAAUUGAUUUAUAAUUCGAUUAAUUAAUAAUUAUUAAUUAAAUUCUUAUUAUAAAUUUUGUUAUUGUAAUUUUGAAAAUUCUAGAAUCGAGAGAACUUACGCAAUGAGAUUGGUGGUAUAUAUCACUUUUUUCUGUUGUGUUUUCUUCUGAACAACGCACGCAAAUUUUUUUUUUUGGAAUACGUAUUUAUUUAAUUGUAGUUUUUCUUUUCUACGACCAUUUUCUUUUCUGUUUUUUUUUUUUUUCAUUUUCAACUAUUCGCACAUGCAAACAAGUGAAACAAUUGCACAACGUGUCCGCAAACUCUUGAUAUAAUAUAUUUAUAUGAAAAACGAGGAUAAAAAAUUCAUUAAUUUAACUUAUCAAAUACAGCACCAAUUUUCUUUUCUUUUCUAAUCAACAUUUUCCGAAUUUGUCGUUUUUGCUUUUUAAUACAUCGUUCGAUAGACUGAAAUUAACUAUUCCAAGCAACUUUUUAUUAUUAAACAUAAUUUUUAUUAAAAACAAUAAUGAAAACAAAAACUGUAUUAAGGGGGGAACACCAGUUGUAACUUUCGAAAAAUCAAUUUUUUUUUUUGUGCAUUUUCUUAAAGUACACAUAUUUAGAAAUGUGUCUGUAAAUUUCAAAGUUGAUCCGGUGAAAAAUAAAUGAGAUAUACAGAACACUGCAUCGGCGCGUCCCGUGGCUUCAUACAAGGUGGCCAGCCAUAACUGACCCUAACGACAGAUGGCCUUUUCCUAUGAUUUAGAAACGGCAACCACUGCGGAAGAGUUAUUAUAUGGUCCAAGAAUCGAUGACUCUUUGUAACUUGGAAACAAAAUUUCUUCUGAACAAAAAAAAACGAAGUAUACUUGCAGAAUGCUGGUCACCGCAAUUCGCCUUUUUUCUUAAGACGCCACUUCAAUGGCUCAUAUCUCCAAAAGUUUUUGUUAAAAAAAUUUUUUUUUUCUUUUAAAUUACAGCUUUUUACAUGUACUUUUAACUAAUAAAUAGUAUUCUUUAAAAAGAUUCAUUGUUCUUUUGGAAAAUAUUCUUGAAAAAAGCAUUAUUUUUUGAGUUACAACUGGUGUUCCCCCCUUAACCGUUAUAUUUUUGUAUUUAAUAAUUUUAAUAUUGAAUGAUGAAAUUGUCAGCCAAAAAGAGUUAAUUUCAGUUAGCGGAUUCUAAAUAGGUUUUUAAAUAUUUUUUUAAUAUUAAUCUUUUUUUUAUCAUAAAAGUUGUUUUAGAUCUUAAAUUUUUUUUCUCUCUAAUAUUAUAAUCGUUCUUAUUAUUUUUUUUUUUUUUGUUGUUCGUUGAUUUUUCUAGUUUAAUAAUUACAGUAGUCAACAUGAUGCGUUGAAGAUUGCCACGAAAUUCACACGCUUUUUUCUCAGGUGCUUAGGAUUAUUUUGGAUUGUUGUCGCGCUUAUUAUUUUUUUUUUUUUUCUUUUAUCGACAAAAUUAGUCUUGGCGCGACUCAGGUACAUAUUAAGGCCCGUUCCUUUAUUUUUAUUAUUUAUUUUCUUUAAUCUUGUUGGACAAGUUAUUCAGCUAAGUCAC